rfam:Schistosoma haematobium scaffold183_11, whole genome shotgun sequence.
AUUCGGCUGACGAGUACAAAACAGGACGAAAUGUGUGUCAAACUGAAU